ensembl:snRNA U6 U6 spliceosomal RNA
AAACUUCAGCAGCACAUAUACUAAAAUUGGAACGAUACAGAGAAGAUUAGCAAGAUGGCCCUUGUGCAAGGAUGACAUGCAAAUUUGUGAAGCAUUCCAUAUUAAA